GACGAACGCUGGCGGCGUGCUUAACACAUGCAAGUCGAACGGAAAGGCCCUGCUUUUGUGGGGUGCUCGAGUGGCGAACGGGUGAGUAACACGUGAGUAACCUGCCCUUGACUUUGGGAUAACUUCAGGAAACUGGGGCUAAUACCGGAUAGGAGCUCCUGCUGCAUGGUGGGGGUUGGAAAGUUUCGGCGGUUGGGGAUGGACUCGCGGCGUAUCAGCUUGUUGGUGGGGUAGUGGCUUACCAAGGCUUUGACGGGUAGCCGGCCUGAGAGGGUGACCGGCCACACUGGGACUGAGAUACGGCCCAGACUCCUACGGGAGGCAGCAGUGGGGAAUAUUGCACAAUGGGCGGAAGCCUGAUGCAGCGACGCCGCGUGCGGGAUGACGGCCUUCGGGUUGUAAACCGCUUUCGCCUGUGACGAAGCGUGAGUGACGGUAAUGGGUAAAGAAGCACCGGCUAACUACGUG
rnacentral:rRNA from 1 species